UGGUUUACAGGCAGUGCUGUAAGACAAGGCUACCUCAGCCUUCCUAGGAGCCUACUGACUGCUCUGUUCAGAAUCAUUAACUCUCAGGAAAGGAAAAACAAACCUUCAUCUUGGUUUUCAAAGCUCUCAUCCCUAUUCUCCAAACCAUCUUACUUCCAAACUAUCUCCUCCAUUUUGUUGCCAUAUGGCCUGCAUUGCAUAGACGUAGCAGACGGUCAAGGUCUGGAAAAGUGUCCUCUGUCGUUCAUCCCUGUACCCACAGGCACAAAGGCCAUGUGUGCCCAGAGGCGUAACUACAAGAUUGAGGAGGGCUAUCUCACUCCCGUCACAGUUCAUGAAAGCAUAGAGCAAUUGUGCUGGAUCAGACCUCUAAGACUUAGAGAAGCCCGAGUGCCCGUGAGCAAAGUCACCCUUAGUCUUGUGGCUGCUGGAGUGCUUUCACACGAGUAUGAACUUAAUGUUUAGAUACAAACAAGGAAAUAGAUUCUUUUAAACUGUCUCAAAAGUAUGAUUUCUCCUAAAUCACAAAUGCUCAAGAAUAUAAAAGAAAACCCACAAGAUGUGCUUAAAUGUGAGCAUACUGUAAGGUUUUCAGUCAGCCAGAAAACACAUUUUCAAUAACCAUAUGGCUUAUUGGCUUGAAAAAAUUCAUUCACCUGACCCCAAAUACUUAUGCAGUGACUGAACACAAGUGUAACAGGCUCAUACUCCCCAACAGCAACAUUUUCAAUUUUAUAAUUUGUUAAGUUUUAAAGAGAAAUUGUUUUUCAUUUCAGUACUUUGAUUUGUGAACUAGAAAACAUAAAAACAUUGAUAGAUGUAAGAAAGUUAAGGUUUUACUUAUAAGAUUCCCAAUAAUCCUGGCUGAAACACUGCAAACAGACUGAAAAUUAAAACAGGUGCUUAGAAAUGCUCAAGAUUAUUCCCUUGGUGUUUUCAUUUAAGUCUCUGGUUUUGUUUGUUUGUUUGUUUGUUUCGAUGCAUUUAUUUAAUAAAAAAAAAUGUUAGGAAUCUUCCCUGUACAAAGCAAUGCAGAUUCCAUCAUACAUUUUAUUCUAAGACUUGAAAAAUAUGUUUCAAAAUAAUAUCUGUCCUGAAACUCUACUUAGACUCAAGUCUUAGAAGUUGUAAGAGUGCAAUUCAAUGUCAUUAAAUCCAACAGAAUUAGUAGAUAGUAGAUGGUAAGUUUUACUGCAACAGAACCAAACUUUUCCAAUGCUUUGUCCACUAACAGUGCCUAGUAGCUGCCUUUUCCACAGACAGUGGUAAUUUAUGGAGAAAUAAUGAAAACAAAGCCAAAGUCUACAAAAUCUUUUGUAGUACAGCCUUUGACACUAGAAGAGCCAUCUCCUCUGAUGUCACAAAGGAGGUUCAGAGAAAUAAAUGACCCAGGCAAAGUUCACAGUGCCAGACACACCACCAUGACCAAGCCCUUGUUUCCUGAUGCUAACACUGACAUCCCUCCUUGAGAUCAUCUGGGAUUUCUUUGCCUCAGAUUCCUCCAACCAUCCAUGCAUGCUAGGAAUUACUAAUGUGGCAGUGGUGGCACAUACCUUUAACUCCAGCACUCAGGAGGCAGAAGCGAGCAGAUCUCUGUGAGGUCUGGGCCAGCUUGAUCUACAGAGCAAGUCCCAGGACAGCCAGUACUAUACAAAGGAACCUAAUCUCAAAAACCAUCAUCAUCGCCAUCGUCAUUGCAUCAUCAUCGCCAUCGUCAUGGUCAUCAUUGUCAUCAUCAUCCUCUUAAGCGAAUAAGCAGUUGAACGUGGCAGACAAACGAUGGUCACUUGGCUCUGUACAGUUGAGUACUGAGCAUAGCGUGGCUGCAGCAGUUUUGCCUCCCCUGCGUUUGUGAGCAGCUUCCUAGUGGCUGAGUAGUGACACUUUAGAAUUCUGGAAACUCCUUCAACUGAAUCUUUUAAGUGUCUGAAGUUUUUUCCUAGCAUUAAAAAUGAAACGAGCAACUGGGAAAGACUUAUAUUUCUCUUUAAAUACCGAACUUAAGAGAAAAACCCAGACAGCUAUCUCUGAAAAAUGCCACAUCCCUCUCAACCUUCCACUCAUGAGAGGAAAUGUUAAACCCCUCAGUAAAUACAAUUCUGCCACUGCUCACUGCUUCAAACGGAGUGACAACACUAAGCCCAGCUCAAGAUCCUGACAGGCAUCAAUGGAUUCCUCAAAGUUGACUGUGAUCCUAGCCAGCUAUUCUCAGCCUGCCAAGUGCUUUGUCUGACCUUGUAAAGAAACUGAGUCCUCUAGGAGAGCAUCUGUCAAACGAGAAGUCUAGAAAGUGAGACCACUGGCCUGCAGGCUGCAGCUCUAGGGCUUCUUAAACAAGAGCUGUGCUUUUAUUGCCUCAAAACUGCCAAUAAUCAAGGGUCUGGAGCGAGGGUCCAGUACUCUCUUCCGUUAAUUCUACGAUGCACUGCAUGUUUAGUGCAUGCCAGGGUGAAAGAGACUCUCUACUUCCAGGAUGUCUGCUUUUUUUAAGCAAUCAAAGUUUGAACAUUUUUACAUAUAAAAUGAAGCCACUCAUGAGUAUACAUUUAUUCCUUUAAGAUCUGGUGUUCAGUAAAUUCUGCCUGUUAUGUAACAGACCAAUUUAACUAGAAAUCAUUCACACUGACAUCCCAUUGUAGUAAGCCAUGGAUUAGCAGUUGGUUGAGAAAACAUUUACUUCAAAUCUUACCUUCAUUCUAAACUUCCUGUUGUAAGUUAUGGCUUUUUUUUUUUUUUUUUGCUUAUAGAUACAUAUUUGCUAUUUAAUGGACUUUUAUAUCAACUUUAUUUACGUUUUAUCAAUGUAUAAUUUUAUAUAACCUUAAAAUGUACCUUUCUUGUGACUUUAACAGUAAUUUUCUUUUACUGUCAUUUUUUAAUUUUUUAAAUAGGUUUCACUGAAAUAAUUCUAUACAUGCACAUAAUAGGCUUUGUUACUGAGACACCCUCCCCGCUGCUUCCCCAUAGCCCCACCUGCUUUCCUAGUAGUUCCCUUCAACUUCCUGAGAAUCUCGCAACAGUUUCCAAACACAGGAUAAAAGAGCCAUAAGUGACAUUUUGGGUAGAAUGCGUCUUUAGCAGGCACACAUUAUUUGGUUUGUAAUAAUUUAAU